GCAUAUCAAUAAGCGGAGGAAAAGAAACCAACAGGGAUUGCCCUAGUAACGGCGAGUGAAGCGGCAACAGCUCAAAUUUGAAAUCUGGCUCUUUUAGAGUCCGAGUUGUAAUUUGCAGAGGGCGCUUUGGCUUUGGCAGCGGUCCAAGUUCCUUGGAACAGGACGUCACAGAGGGUGAGAAUCCCGUACGUGGUCGCUAGCUAUUGCCGUGUAAAGCCCCUUCGACGAGUCGAGUUGUUUGGGAAUGCAGCUCUAAAUGGGAGGUAAAUUUCUUCUAAAGCUAAAUAUUGGCCAGAGACCGAUAGCGCACAAGUAGAGUGAUCGAAAGAUGAAAAGCACUUUGGAAAGAGAGUCAAACAGCACGUGAAAUUGUUGAAAGGGAAGCGCUUGCAGCCAGACUUGCUUGCAGUUGCUCAUCCGGGCUUUUGCCCGGUGCACUCUUCUGCAGGCAGGCCAGCAUCAGUUUGGGCGGUGGGAUAAAGGUCUCUGUCACGUACCUUCCUUCGGGUUGGCCAUAUAGGGGAGACGUCAUACCACCAGCCUGGACUGAGGUCCGCGCAUCUGCUAGGAUGCUGGCGUAAUGGCUGUAAGCGGCCCGUCUUGGAAAACACGGACC
rnacentral:rRNA from 1 species